rnacentral:rRNA from 1 species
AACGAACGCUGGCGGCAGGCUUAACACAUGCAAGUCGAACGCCCCGCAAGGGGAGUGGCAGACGGGUGAGUAACGCGUGGGAAUCUACCUAGUUCUACGGAACAACAGAGGGAAACUUCUGCUAAUACCGUAUACGCCCUACGGGGGAAAGAUUUAUCGGAAUUAGAUGAGCCCGCGUAAGAUUAGCUAGUUGGUGAGGUAAUGGCUCACCAAGGCGACGAUCUUUAGCUGGUCUGAGAGGAUGAUCAGCCACACUGGGACUGAGACACGGCCCAGACUCCUACGGGAGGCAGCAGUGGGGAAUAUUGGACAAUGGGCGCAAGCCUGAUCCAGCCAUGCCGCGUGAGUGAUGAAGGCCGUAGGGUUGUAAAGCUCUUUCAGUAGGGAAGAUAAUGACGGUACCUACAGAAGAAGCCCCGGCUAACUUCGUGCCAGCCGCCGCCGUAAAAC